UAUACACCCUUUCAGUUAUUAACUGAUUAUAAUUACCUCCCCUGAAUGACGUCAUCCGGGGAUACCCGAUUAUCGACUGUAAGCAAACAAAGAGAUGUCUGUUUGACAAUGUGUGUUUUCAACGGUGUAAAUGGACUUAAAAUAUGAACGAAAAGAUUAAUGACCACGACUAUGCUGUCCAGUUUUACACAGCAACACCAGUAUUCGACUCAAAACCGGAUGGAAAACAGAUUCAAGACAUUACUGUAUCACUCGAGAAGAAGUUGAAGUCUAACAGGAUCUGCUGUGUGCCCAAAUGUCACACCACUGGCUAAGGAUUGUUAGAAGGCCAUGGAAAGCCCAGCUAUCAUGCAUUUCCAGCUGAAGAUGAUCCAGUUCAAGCUGUUUGGUUGAAUAAAAUACGAAGAGAUGAAGACAGACAUUUUAAGAUAAGUCACAAUACGGUUGUCUGUUUUCUCCAUUUUGAACGUGACUGUCUUGAUGAAUCUGGAUUUGCUAAGCGGAGGUAUCUAAAACCAGGAGCCAUCCCUACACUAUUCGACUGCUGGAAGGACAAACCGCAUCUGUUGAAGCGAAUUCAAGUGGAACGUGCAAUUAACAAGAUUAAAAGUUUUCACAUAUUUGAUCAGGUCAUUCUGGUUUCUCUGUUUGGGAUAAUUAAUCAAAUUUGGACAGUUUGCUCAUUGCUCACUCUUUUCCAAGACCCAAUUAUACCAUGUCCUGGUGUUUAACAUACAUACCAUUUAUAUGAACAUUUGUUGUUCGUUUACAUCAUACUACAUGUAGGCUAAUGAAAAACCAUUGGCUGUUCAUGUAAUAUUUGUACAUUUUUUGGCUUUGUAUAAAGUUUUUGAUAAUUAUCUUGAUAUAAGCAUUGAUUUAGUUACAGAUUAAUGCUUAAAGAGUACUUAAAGCUACACACCUUGAAAUAAAGUACAUGUUCAUAUAGAUGCAAUUUGAAAGUGUGCAAAAUUUUCAUUAAAUCUAUAGUCUAGUUAGCAAGUAAUUUAUUAUUUUUCAAACAGGAAUAACUGCUUUUAAAACUGAAAGAAGGAUUUCUAUAUUAAACACGAUUAUUUUUAACUUUUUAAAGCGCAAAAAAAGAUGGCUUUCUACCUUGUUACCACCAGAUAUAUUCUAGUUGGCAUAAUAAAAUUAAAUCUAUAGCCUAGUUUAAUAGCAAGUUAUUUUUUUUUUCAAACAGUACUGCUUUUAAAACCGAAAGUAGGAUUUCCAGACGUACACAUCCAUUUCGACAAACGCGAUUAUUUUUAAGUUGUAAAGUGCAAAAAAGAUGGAUUUCUACCUUGUAACCACCAGAUAUAUUCUAAUUGGCAUAGAUAAAAUAUGUCACUCAUACUUAAAUUUACUAUGCCAAAUAAGGUGUGUGGCCUUUACAUAAAAAUUGUAUAUACAUCUUUUUAAUCAUGUUUGUUAAUUUGUUUUGAUUGUAUGACUACUGAAUAAAUAAUUUUGUUAAUAGAAA